AGCGAACGCUGGCGGCAGGCCUAACACAUGCAAGUCGAACGAACCUUUCGGGGUUAGUGGCGGGCGGGUGAGUAACACGUGGGAACGUGCCUUUAGGUUCGGAAUAACUCAGGGGAACUUGUGCUAAUACCGAAUGUGCCCUUCGGGGGAAAGAUUAAUCGCCUUUAGAGCGGCCCGCGUCUGAUUAGCUAGUUGGUUGAGGUAAUGGCUCACCAAGGCGACGAUCAGUAGCUGGUCUGAGAGGAUGAUCAGCCACAUUGGGACUGAGACACGGCCCAAACUCCUACGGGAGGCAGCAGUGGGGAAUCUUGCGCAAUGGGCGAAAGCCUGACGCAGCCAUGCCGCGUGAAUGAUGAAGGUCUUAGGAUUGUAAAAUUCUUUCACCGGGGACGAUAAUGACGGUACCCGGAGAAGAAGCCCCGGCUAACUUCGUG
rnacentral:rRNA from 1 species